UACGUAGGGUGCGAGCGUUGUCCGGAAUCAUUGGGCGUAAAGCGCGCGUAGGUGGUCAUGUAAGUCCGCUGUGAAAGUCAAAGGCUCAACCUUUGAAAGCCGGUGGAUACUGCAUGACUAGAGUACGGAAGAGGCGAGUGGAAUUCCUGGUGUAGCGGUGGAAUGCGCAGAUAUCAGGAGGAACACCAAUAGCGAAGGCAGCUCGCUGGGACGUUACUGACACUGAGGCGCGAAAGCGUGGGGAGCGAACAGG
rnacentral:rRNA from 1 species